AGGGAGUACAGUUUUAUACUGUUUUUGUCCAAAGUUUAACCACAUGUCUUAUUUGAAAAAUUUUUACGAUUAAUAUUGUUUUUGUUAUUAUAUGAUAAAAUAUGAAUAGUACUUUAUGUGCAACUAGUUUUUUUAAAUUUUUUUUAUAAAUUUUUUAAAUAAGACAAACAGUUAAACGUUGACGGAGUUAUUACA
rnacentral:pre_miRNA from 1 species